GGAGAGCGAAAGCCAAAUAAGAAAAACAAGCAAAGAGGAGAGGCGUGAGGGUGAAGGUGUGGGGUUUCAAAAACUUUUAAAUGAGAAAACAAAAUCUUAUGUAGUCUAAUAUUUUUAUUCUCUCUGUCAGAUGCACAGAAGGUCAAACAGGAAAAAAUGGUAAAAGUUGAAGGUGCAGGAUGAGAUUCAGGAGGUCCAAGAUGAGAUUCAAGAGGUACAAGAUAA
rnacentral:lncRNA from 1 species